rnacentral:tRNA from 1 species
GGUGGGGUGCCAGAGUGGCCGAACGGGCUCGCCUGGAAAGCGAGUAACCCUUCACGGGGUUCGUGGGUUCGAAUCCCACCCCCACCGCCA